CCUACAAUUCUUCCAACUUGACAGGUCCUAGUGGUGCAAGAGAAGUACCGCGGCUGGGUGUUGGACGGUGUGUGGAAACUUCCCACGGGGUUCAUUCAGGAGUCAGAAGAAAUAUACACAGGAGCCAUCAGAGAGGUCCAGGAAGAAACAGGGGUUGACACAAGUGCUCGGAGCCGCAAGUUCUGAACCUGAAGGUUUAUGCUGCAUUUGUUUCUUUCAGGGCAAGAGGACUACAACAGGCUGAGC